rnacentral:rRNA from 1 species
AAUGAACGCUGGCGGCAUGCCUAACACAUGCAAGUCGAACGAGACCUUCGGGUCUAGUGGCGCACGGGUGCGUAACGCGUGGGAAUCUGCCCUUGGGUUCGGAAUAACAGUUAGAAAUGACUGCUAAUACCGAAUGAUGUCGUAAGACCAAAGAUUUAUCGCCCAGGGAUGAGCCCGCGUAAGAUUAGGUAGUUGGUGUGGUAAAGGCGCACCAAGCCGACGAUCUAGCUGGUCUGAGAGGAUGAUCAGCCACACUGGGACUGAGACACGGCCCAGACUCCUACGGGAGGCAGCAGUGGGGAAUAUUGGACAAUGGGCGAAAGCCUGAUCCAGCAAUGCCGCGUGAGUGAUGAAGGCCUUAGGGUUGUAAAGCUCUUUUACCCGGGAUGAUAAUGACAGUACCGGGAGAAUAAGCUCCGGCUAACUCCGUGCCAGCAGCCGCCGCGGUAAC